rnacentral:rRNA from 1 species
AGUGAACGCUGGCGGCAGGCCUAACACAUGCAAGUCGAACGGCCGCACAGUAAGAGCUCGCCCUUACGGGUGGCGAGUGGCGGACGGGUGACGAAUACAUCGGAAUCUACUUUUUCGUGGGUGAUAACGUAGGGAAACUUACGCUAAUACCGCAUACGACCUACCGGUGGAUUCAGUGGAUCUUCGCACCUUGCGCGUUUGAACUAGCCGAUGUCGGAUUAGCUAGUUUGCGGGGUAAAGGCCCACCAAGGCGACGCUCCGUAGCUGGUCUGAGAGGAUGAUCAGCCACACUGGAACUGAGACACGGUCCAGACUCCUACGGGAGGCAGCAGUGGGGAAUAUUGGACAAUGGGCGAAAGCCUGAUCCAGCCAUACCGCGUGAGUGAAGAAGGCCUUCGGGUUGUAAAGCCCUUUUGUUAGGAAAGAAAAGCAGCAGAUUAAUACCCCGCUGUUCUGACGGUACCCAAAGAAUAAGCACCGGCUAACUUCGUG